AUCUAGGCUCUUGCAUCGAUGAAGAACGUAGCGAAAUGCGAUACUUGGUGUGAAUUGCAGAAUCCCGUGAACCAUCGAGUCUUUGAACGCAAGUUGCGCCCGAUGCCAUUAGGUUGAGGGCACGUCUGCCUGGGUGUCACAUAUCGAAGCCUCCUGCCAAUAAC
rnacentral:rRNA from 1 species